CUUUUGACGUUGUCAUUAUUAUAGUAUGUGGAUUUGUUAUUUUCCCGUCAAUCGUCAUAUGUUGUGUCUCCUCCUAUAGGAAGCCUAUAGGCGGUGAUGAUGGUGGAGGUUGUGGAGGCGGUGAGGGAGGUUCCGGUGGCUGUGGAGGGGACUGAGUUUCGUAUAGUCAUGUCUUGUGUCGUGGGAUUUGAUAAUGAUCUCCUUUAUUAUCCAUGCAUGUAUAGGUAAGAUUUAAACUCGUGAUUUGUGACCCAAAAAAAAAACAUGUUAUAUAGAAGAAAAAAAAUUGUAUCAUGAGCUGAAGAUAUGAUUGUGUAAAUGUAAAUUGCUG
rnacentral:sRNA from 1 species